AAUGAAGUGCCUGAAAAAAAGGAUUAUUUUGAUAGAAUAAAAAAUGUAAUAUUAUUACCUUCAUUU
rnacentral:tRNA from 1 species